AUUGAACGCUGGCGGCAUGCCUUACACAUGCAAGUCGAACGGUAACGCGGGGCAACCUGGCGACGAGUGGCGAACGGGUGAGUAAUACAUCGGAACGUGCCCAGUAGUGGGGGAUAGCCCGGCGAAAGCCGGAUUAAUACCGCAUACGACCUACGGGUGAAAGCGGGGGAUCGCAAGACCUCGCGCUAUUGGAGCGGCCGAUGUCAGAUUAGCUAGUUGGUGGGGUAAAAGCCUACCAAGGCGACGAUCUGUAGCUGGUCUGAGAGGACGACCAGCCACACUGGGACUGAGACACGGCCCAGACUCCUACGGGAGGCAGCAGUGGGGAAUUUUGGACAAUGGGGGGCAACCCUGAUCCAGCCAUGCCGCGUGCGGGAAGAAGGCCUUCGGGUUGUAACGCG
rnacentral:rRNA from 1 species